rnacentral:lncRNA from 1 species
AGUUUAACAGGUGAUUUGUAUUCACCACCAUUAAGGGCAGUGCUCACCGCUCUGUCCUGCAGGCUGGCUGCACACCACAGGGAACUGCUCGUUGACCCCAAGCUUUCCUCUGCCCAAUUAUCCUGGUUAGCUUGCAGGCAGCCUCGGGAGCGGGGCAGGGAACAGGUCACACCGAGGGACUCGUCCUCCCGUGCCCCUGCCUGCCCUCAGGCUGGGGGCAGGUGCUGGGCAGGGGUGGCUCCUGGAGGGUGUCAGGUCACAGCAGCCUCAAAGCCAGUUGGGAAGAGGAAAGUUCCAGUCCUGGGACACCCCUUGAGCACCUGCACUGGAGCCCAACGCCUGCGAGACCUCAAGGGCCGGAGCUGUUCCAGUGCUGUGAUUCCCAUCCAGAAGCCCCAAAAGUGGACGUGGGGGUGAAACUGGGAGACCUGAGACCCGCUGCCACCCACGAGCACGCAAGUGCUGGAGCUCAUCAAGGCACAGAUCAGCCCUGCUGGGUUAUAGAGGGACCUUUGACUGUUGACUGGGAUCAUUUCAGCUCGUUUGGAGCCCUGUGAGGGACCUGACAGGGCUCAGCACCACUGGAAUUGGUGUCUAUCUGUGCUGGAUGGUGGGAGGCUGUGGUGGGGUACUGGGAUGUGACCCCAGCCACACAAGGACCACGAGUUCUUGCCCAUGAACCCAGCCCGCCCCUGUGUGCUGCUUCCCAGGGAUCCUCAAAUCCCUAAAGGCUCUGCGAGGAUGUUUUAUAAACUCUUCCUGUGCUGAAGUGGCAGCCACCUCGGUGGUCACUGCACCCCUAGUGCAAGGGCAGCACAUCAAACUUCAUUAGAUAUUAAAAAAUGAAUUGUGUUUGCAUUCCUUGCA